rnacentral:rRNA from 1 species
GGUUAAGCGACUAAGCGUACACGGUGGAUGCCCUGGCAGUCAGAGGCGAUGAAGGGCGUGCUAAUCUGCGAUAAGCGCCGGUAAGGUGAUAUGAACCGUUAUAACCGGCGAUACCCGAAUGGGGAAACCCAGUGUGAUUCGUCACACUAUCAUUAACUGAAUCCAUAGGUUAAUGAGGCGAACCGGGGGAACUGAAACAUCUAAGUACCCCGAGGAAAAGAAAUCAACCGAGAUUCCCCCAGUAGCGGCGAGCGAACGGGGAGGAGCCCAGAGCCUGAAUCAGCAUGUGUGUUAGUGGAAGCGUCUGGAAAGGCGCGCGAUACAGGGUGACAGCCCCGUACACAAAAGCGCAUGUGUUGUGAGCUCGAUGAGUAGGGCGGGACACGUGGUAUCCUGUCUGAAUAUGGGGGGACCAUCCUCCAAGGCUAAAUACUCCUGACUGACCGAUAGUGAACCAGUACCGUGAGGGAAAGGCGAAAAGAACCCCGGCGAGGGGAGUGAAAAAGAACCUGAAACCGUGUACGUACAAGCAGUGGGAGCACCCUUUGGGGUGUGACUGCGUACCUUUUGUAUAAUGGGUCAGCGACUUAUAUUCUGUAGCAAGGUUAACCGAAUAGGGGAGCCGGAGGGAAACCGAGUCUUAAU